AUUGAACGCUGGCGGCAUGCCUUACACAUGCAAGUCGAACGGCAGCGGGGGAGAAGCUUGCUUUUCCUGCCGGCGAGUGGCGAACGGGUGAGUAAUACAUCGGAACGUGCCCUGUAGUGGGGGAUAACUAGUCGAAAGAUUAGCUAAUACCGCAUACGACCUGAGGGUGAAAGUGGGGGACCGCAAGGCCUCAUGCUAUAGGAGCGGCCGAUGUCGGAUUAGCUAGUUGGUGGGGUAAAGGCCUACCAAGGCGACGAUCAGUAGCUGGUCUGAGAGGACGAUCGGCCACACUGGGACUGAGACACGGCCCAGACUCCUACGGGAGGCAGCAGUGGGGAAUUUUGGACAAUGGGCGAAAGCCUGAUCCAGCAAUGCCGCGUGUGUGAAGAAGGCCUUCGGGUUGUAAAGCACUUUUGUCCGGAAAGAAAUGGCUCUGGUUAAUACCUGGGGUCGAUGACGGUACCGGAAGAAUAAGGACCGGCUAACUACGUGCCAGCCGCCGCAGUAA
rnacentral:rRNA from 1 species